AUGAACGCUAGCGAUAGGCUUAACACAUGCAAGUCGAGGGGCAGCAUGGUCUUAGCUUGCUAAGACUGAUGGCGACCGGCGCACGGGUGCGUAACGCGUAUGCAACUUGCCUCACAGAGGGGGAUAACCCGUCGAAAGACGGACUAAUACCGCGUACACUCCAUCUUGGGCAUCCAAGGUAGAGGAAAUGAAAUUCGCUGUGAGAUAGGCAUGCGUCCCAUUAGCUAGUUGGUGAGGUAACGGCUCACCAAGGCGACGAUGGGUAGGGGAACUGAGAGGUUGAACCCCCACACUGGUACUGAGACACGGACCAGACUCCUACGGGAGGCAGCAGUGAGGAAUAUUGGUCAAUGGGCGAGAGCCUGAACCAGCCAAGUCGCGUGAAGGAUGACUGUCUUAUGGAUUGUAAACUUCUUUUAUACGGGAAUAACAAGAGCCACGUGUGACUCCCUGCAUGUACCGUAUGAAUAAGCAUCGGCUAACUCCGUG
rnacentral:rRNA from 1 species